rnacentral:rRNA from 1 species
GGCGUGCUUAACACAUGCAAGUCGAACGAACCUUCGGGUUAGUGGCGGAYCGGUGAGUAACGCGUGAGAAUCUGCCCUCAGGAGGGGGAUAUCGGCUGGAAAACGGCCGCUAAUACCCCAUAUGCCGAGAGGUGAAAUGAAUUUCGCCUGAGGAUGAGCUCGCGUCUGAUUAGCUUGUUGGUGGGGUAAUGGCCUACCAAGGCAACGAUCAGUAGCUGGUCUGAGAGGAUGAUCAGCCACACUGGGACUGAGACACGGCCCAGACUCCUACGGGAGGCAGCAGUGGGGAAUUUUCCGCAAUGGGCGAAAGCCUGACGGAGCAACGCCGCGUGAGGGAUGAAGGCCUCUGGGCUGUAAACCUCUUUUAUCAAGGAAGAAGAUCUGACGGUACUUGAUGAAUAAGCCACGGCUAAUUCCGUGCCAGCAGCCGCGGUAAUACGGGAGUGGCAAGCGUUAUCCGGAAUUAUUGGGCGUAAAGCGUCCGCAGGCGGCCUGAAAAGUCUGCUGUUAAAGCGUGGAGCUUAACUCCAUUUCAGCAGUGGAAACUGUCAGGCUUGAGUGUGGUAGGGGCAGAGGGAAUUCCCGGUGUAGCGGUGAAAUGCGUAGAGAUCGGGAAGAACACCAGUGGCGAAAGCGCUCUGCUGGGCCAUCACUGACGCUCAUGGACGAAAGCCAGGGGAGCGAAAGGGAUUAGAUACCCCUGUAGUCCUGGCCGUAAACGAUGAACACUAGGUGUCGGGGGAAUCGACCCCUCCGGUGUCGUAGCCAACGCGUUAAGUGUUCCGCCUGGGGAGUACGCACGCAAGUGUGAAACUCAAAGGAAUUGACGGGGGCCCGCCCAG